GAUGAACGCUGGCGGCGUGCCUAACACAUGCAAGUCGAGCGAUUCUCUUCGGAGAAGAGCGGCGGACGGGUGAGUAACGCGUGGGUAACCUGCCCUGUACACACGGAUAACAUACCGAAAGGUAUGCUAAUACGGGAUAACAUAAGAAAUUCGCAUGUUUUUCUUAUCAAAGCCCCGGCGGUACAGGAUGGACCCGCGUCUGAUUAGCUAGUUGGUGAGGUAACGGCUCACCAAGGCAACGAUCAGUAGCCGACCUGAGAGGGUGAUCGGCCACAUUGGAACUGAGACACGGUCCAAACUCCUACGGGAGGCAGCAGUGGGGAAUAUUGCACAAUGGGCGAAAGCCUGAUGCAGCAACGCCGCGUGAGCGAUGAAGGCCUUCGGGUCGUAAAGCUCUGUCCUCAAGGAAGAUAAUGACGGUACUUGAGGAGGAAGCCCCGGCUAACUACGUGCCAGCCGCCGCCGUAAGAC
rnacentral:rRNA from 1 species